AAGGUGUUAGUAAAAAUUAUAAAGCCUUGUCGUGGCUUAGUUGCCAGUUAAAUCCGGCACAUCUUA
rnacentral:tRNA from 1 species